UUUACUUUUAAUGAAUCCUCAGAUUUCAUUAUUGAAGUGCGUGCGCGGUUAUAAACUUACAUAAUAUAAUUCAUGAAGCGUUAUUUAUCGCGUACAAAAUACAAAGGUUUUCGCUAAGCAUCUGCUUACGUCAUAAAAGUGUAUUAUGUCAAUAAAUAAAAAAAAAAAUAAGAAUAAUGCCGAGUCAAAACAUUAGUUUCCCACAACGAUUAAACAGCCGCGAGUAAUAAAGGGCGUCUGAAAACACUAUGGGUUGCGCCAAUGCGUUGCGGGGACAGGAUAUUAUUCAAGACAACUCAUUGUACGUACGUGAUGGAUGUGAUGAGCGCAUCCGUGUAGGCCGAACCCUAAAAAUGAAGUGCAAUAAAACCAAGACGAUAACACCGCUGUAAUUAAGACGAGGUAAAUAUAUGGAACGCAUUGACGGAUCGUAAAGUCGAAGAAUUCAAAACAACAAACUGCAAGGCAUCAUUAAUCUACUAAUCUAUUUAAGGACACGCGAUAAGAAUCUCAUUUAAAGUAUUGAAUGAAGAGUGUUCGUAGUGGACUCGAGAUAGGCUUAAAUUAGCUUUUGAGGCCAGGUGGCAUUACCAGAGUUCUUGAUUCGGAAUAUUGAACAUUCACCCGUCUGCGCAAGGUCGGUGUUUAAACGACAAAUGCAUCGAAACAGAUAGGAGCGACAUGUCCGACAUUGGAGGACCGAUGUUGACCACUACAGUUGUGACGUACACCGCGUUUCUGACCACGGACUGAACUCAAGAUAUCACAACGGCCAUUAUUCGAUAAAGAUACAUGUAUUCAUAGUUAAUUUCAUAAGUUCAAGUAUUUCUAGUAAAAUAAUUAGUACUACUUUAUACAAGGGUCAUUGGCCACAAUAAAUAAAUUGCCGUCAUUGGCACAGUAAUUUUUGUAUAACUGAUUGUGAGUCUGAUGGAUGGGAUUAUAAUAUUGUCUUUUUCACUUGAACUAACAUAAUGAUAGUUUUUGCUUAUAUUAAAAUGUGUUUGACUAAAAAUUCAGCAUUGUAACAAACCUGUUCAGAGCAGCUCAGUUACUUUAUGGAGAUUGAAUUCAAACAAUUUAUUUGAAUGUAGAUUACUUGAG